CCAGGCUUCGAAGUCCCAGGCCAGACCCAGUUGUGGCAGCAGAGGUUCCCUGAUUUUAUGGCUGAUUUGUUUCGCUCUCAGAAAUGUGACCUCAGCAGAGGAGCCAACAAACCAUUAAACACAACAUAUGCUGCCCUCUUGCAGCUUUAGCUGUGAUAGCAUUGUUAACACAAGAGGAAGGGCUUGUGUGCUCUCGCCUGCCCUCUUUUGAUCUGUUCUGUAAAUUGUCCAACCUUACAGUUACGGUUCUGCGUACAUCCCGCUGGAGAGCAGCCUCCUUUCCCCGUCCAGCUCCUGACAGACAGCUUUAACCUUCAAUGAUGGCAUGUAUUUUUCAUUCAUACCGCAGUGAUGCGCUCCAAGGAAUAAAAUGACAUCUGUACUGAUGGGUGAUUAAUUUCACUUCACAGAGUUUGCGACAUGGAGACAUCUACCAGCCUCAGUGCCUUCUUCUGGCGACGGAUAAGCUUAAAUUUCCGUUCAUUCUGUGUCUCACGGGGCAAGGUGGAGUGGUGGUGUUUCGCCCUCUGCAAAGUGACCUGCUGACCAUUGCUCCAGCUGCCUUGGAGCCCUUGCGAUGCUCACCUGGGGAAUGAAGAGGCAAGGUUCUUGUAAUCUCUUGCAUCUUCUUCAGAAAUGAUAAUUAUAAUCAUUUGGUGUUCUUCC